ensembl:lncRNA
CCAGGGCAGGCCUGGGUCUACAUGACUGUGGCAUCUCCACAGUGGACCAUUUGGGUGUACAUGGGCCUCCCUUUCCUUUGGCAAUGAUGCAGCACCACCCCCACCCUCUGCCGCUGUCCCUGGUCACUUCUUGAUCCAGAAACUUCCCGAUGAAUAAUGGUAGUCAGAGUCUGGGCCCCAUUGUUCCCGUGCUCUGGCUUCCAGGAAGCUCAGAGCCAAGUGUAUUUUGGUCCCAGUGAUCUCACCCCCAGGUCUUAGUGAAAUGACCUCUCACCUUUCUCUGAGUGUUUCUGACUCUAUCUUAUAGGUUUAGUUCCACUGCCACUUUUCCUCUGUGUUUUUACUAUAAGCCACCUCAAAUCUUUAGAGAAGUAUGUAUAAUUAUGUUUUUCUUACUGCAGUUUGGGUUGACAGAAAGAAGUUUCCUUGAGCUUAUUUAUAGGCGAAGUGGGUAAGCAAGCAGGAAGGAUCUUCACAAGAUGUGGUCAGUGUGGCAGAAAGGGCCGCCAGGCAUAGAGUGUAGAGGUCUGGGACUGAUUCCUGACUCUACCAGUGACUAGUUCUAUAAAAUUAAGACAAUCUCCCCAAGCCUCAGUUUUUUGAUCUGUCAAAUGAACUAAUAAUCUUGCUCUUCCCACUUCAGGAAGAUAAGAAUAGGUCCUGAUAAGAUUUUUAAAAAUUAUAUCCAAUACUUUUAUAGACCAUGCUGUAUGUCAGUCAUGGCUUUAAACAUGUUCUAUGUAUUAUUUCACUGAACCUGCACAACAACCCAUUUUGCAGAGGUGGAAACCGGUGCUCAGGGAGAUUAAGAGACUUGGCCCAGCUCGCAGAAGUAACUUUCCAGCUCCAGGGAUCUGGUUCCUGAUUACCUGUUCUUAUCCACUGCACAUCCUGCCUCCCACAGUGCAUGUGAAAGUUCAAGUGAUGGUGAAAUGUUUUGCAAAUAUAAGACAAGGUCUCACUCUGUCACCCAGACUGGAGGGCGGUGGUGCAGUGGCAUGAUCAUGGCUCACUGCAGCCUCAAACUCCUGGGCUCAGGCAGUCCUUCUACCUCAGCCUCCCAAGUGGCUAGGACUACAGGUACGUGCCACCACACCCCACUUUUUUUUUUUUUUGAAGAGAUGUGAUUUCAACAUGUUGCCUAGGCUGAUCUCAAACUCCUGGCUUCAAGUGAUCCUCCCCCAUUGACUUCCCAAAGUGCUGAGAUUAUAGGCAUGAGCCACUGCACCCAGGCAAGAGCCAAUUUUCAAUUGUCUAUGGAAGUGAUAUAUUAACUGAUAUUUGCUAAACAUAAAUUCACGUUUGCAUUCACAGAGUGAAUGGGGAAGAACUGUGGAGACAGAUAACCCAACUUGUGUCCUCACUCUGAGAUGACCUCUUAAAAGAGUGCUCAUGGCCAGCUGAGGAGGCAGCAUGCAGAAUGGCAAGGUAACUGAGCUUGGAGUCAGAAAAGCUGAGUUUUGACACAGCUAUAUUACUGCCAGCUGAGUAUGACGAAUCACUUAACCUCUCUGGGCCUCGAUAUCUUUGUCUGUGAAAUAGGACUAUUGAUAUCUGUUUUGCUUACCUCACAGGGCAGAGGUCAAGUGUGAAUAUAUGCCCUUUUUCCAUCUGCAAGAGCAUGGCUCAAGCUGGGUGAAUAGUGAGGGCCAUACAGGCAUGUACUCCCAGGCAGCAAGUGGUAGUGAGGCCUGAAGCCUGGGCAGGCCCUAUAGGAAGACUCAGUCCACUGGGAGACAUCAAGAAAGGCCUUGGCAAGGUGUGUGUGCUCACAUACCACCCGUUUCCCUCAGCAGCCCAGGCCUGGGGCCUGCCAGCUAAGACUUGCUGCUCACAUUGAGCCUCAUAAAUGAAUAAAGUAGGCAAUUUAAUAUCAUUGUGACAACUACUGGAGAGAUUUUUACAUAUCUGCUUUGCAGCAUAAAGUUUCCUUAGAGCCAACUUUUAGACUUAGACAAUUUCUAUAUUAUUUCCUACCUCUACCUCCCCAGAGAGGCAGGGAUGGCAGACGGAAAUUAAGAAAAUUCUAAAUCCUCAGGAAGAUUACUGUGUUUGGAUUUUUUUGAAAUAAUUGAAUGAACAUUUUGUCAACAUGGUAUCAGGGGAAAGAGGAGUGGUAUAUUCAGUGCUAUCUUGCAUCCUUGUGAAGAUAAAGGCAGACUGUGAGCACUGAGGCUUCUUGUCUGUUGACCUCUACUCUAAGGCACCCCUGUGGACCCCUCCUCUACUCAAUCUAAAGUGGAUGUAAAAGUCUAUCCUCAUCUGGACAGGCCAAAUGGGCCCUCCAUGCUGUCUUUCUCUAGCAUCAUGCCCUGAGGCUCCAAUGACUAUAUAAAGGGGCUGCUUCUCCAACCCAAGCCCAGUGGCCCUAACCUCUCCCACUCUACACUGGCUCCUGUUUUCAUCCUUCCUCCCUCCCUGUCACUGCCAUGCCUUUGAUAGCACAUGGACUCAGCAUCCUCAGACUACAUCAGUGCAGAUCAUCAGAUAGAGUGGCAGGGGGCUAAAAAUUUCAGUCAUUCAGAACCCAUUCCACUUGGAGCACAUGGUACGUCAGGGACCCAGUCUAUAUUAUCCCCAAGUGAAGUCUGGAACACAGAAAUCCAGAGAUUCCUAAACCCACCCAAUAAACUUCCCCAGCACUGACUGAGGUGUAUUCCUGGUUGCCCACCCUACGCUCACCUACUGCCAUCCCCCAUCAACAGAUAUGCCAAUCUUUUUUUUUGCCCACCGUCUCCAUAAGUGCCCCCUCUGUGAACAUCAUGGAUUCCCUUCAUGUUCGCUCUAUUUCUCCCCACUGCUGCUAACCUCCUGACAGGGAAGUGGCACCCUUGGGCCACCAAAGUCCUUUAGUUGAGCUGGAUCCCCUCCUCCAAAGGGCUGCUAGUGGGACACUAGGAGGACUCAAGUCCAGCUGUAUGAGUUAGCAAAAGGGCAGAGGCAAGAAGGCUUUUAAGCCAGUGUUGCCAAGAUGACUUUUGGUGAGUGGGGGUGUUUGGAUGGGAGAAGAAGCUUAAGAUAGAUCCUUUCCCAUUGGGAUGAAACUUUAGGCCAGCCAGCUUUCUUUGUGAUAUGUGAUGAAUUAUAUCACCCACCCAGGAUAGAAGUGCCUGUUCAUCCAGGUCCUCAGGACCAGAAAAAGCUUCUCCAGGGCAAAAUAAAUCACAUAGAAUCUCCUCAAGGGCCCAGGAAAGUGAAUAUUCAGUGGCAGUUUCUCCCUGACUAAUGCUAACUAUAGUUAGCCCUGAGCUAGCCCAACCUUCCAUUCUUCAAGUGGGGAAAUUAAGGCCCAGGCAGGUCAUGUCUCCAGUUCUCCCCAGGGUUGAAUGUAAGUCUCUUGAUUCCUAGUCUUGUCUUUUCUCCACCCUACCACCUGACCUGCCCUUGGACACAUGGCUGAGAGGGCCAGCCUUCCUCAGCUUACCGCUCUCAAUAUCACUUUGACAAGAAUUCAGAUUUCACAGCUGUAUCAGCAGCAUGUUAAAUGUUGCAGUGAAGAGUGGCUAAACAGUGACAUCUCUAGCUUCAUGGUGGUCAGCCUAUAACUGAGAGGCUCAGGGUCAAUAGCUGCAGGCCUGACAGGUCCCGGAUCCAUAUGCCAAUGGCAGUGGAGACAGAUUUACCGCAGGGAGCCCUGCACCAUCAGAAUGGAUGCCAGCAAUAGACCUUGUUUCUUUCCUUUGAUAUGCCAAAAGAUUAAGUUUGAACUCCUAAGGACUCUCUAGGGUAUCUAGGAAACUUCCACCAGCCAGUAGUCAAAGUGCCCUUUAAUCCAGCUGAGUGCAUAACUAGGGAACUAGAGUAUUGUCUUGGGCUACAGCUGAGAUGGGGCUCUAGCAAAAAGUCUAGUGUAAACUUACUCUUCUAAAGCCCAAGUAGCCUCUGCACAGAGAGCAGCUAAGUAAAGAUGAAGCCUCUUAGGCCACAGAGCUGACUGUGAUGUGAUGAUCUUGCCAUCUCCUGGAAAGAGGGGGUUGUGGGCCCAUCACAAGAAACAGCCCAAAGGAAGGGCUAACCUGUGGUGGUAGCCCCUGAGCUGCCCACAGUGUGCCAAGAGGCACAGUGUCAGCAUUUUCAUCAAUGUUGUUAUCAUUGUUUGCAACCUCUCUCAAACAACUGCCUGACAUUGAGUGCCUCCUUCGUGCCAAGAAUAUUGUAAGCAUUCACUCCUGUGUUGAUUCUCACAAAUACCCUGUGGGAUUAGUAUUAUAAUUAGGCCCAUUUUGUAGAUAAGGAAAACAAAACUCAGGUAAAGUUACUCACCAAAGUCUUAUGGCUGGUAAACAUGUGACAAUGAGGUGAAUAAGAGCUGGUUCUUGUUCUUAAGGUGCUGCCAGUCAUGUCUACAGAGUGUAUGGAAAUGGAAUCAGUGUUUCUCCUGGGGACUGGGUUCAGUCUUGGUGAUAAGAACUCCCAUUUAUUGAGUAUCUACUAUCUGCUAGGAGCUUUAUAUGAUUAUUCCAUUUAAUCCUUACAAUAGCUCUCUGAAUAUGCUAUUAUUAUUAUCUUCAUUUUAGGGAGGAAAAUGAGACUCCUAGAAGUUAAGCAACUUGAGCAAGGAAUCACAGCUAAUAAAAACAGAGCUGGGAUUUGAACCACUAAGCCAGUGGCUCUCAAACUUUUUUCCUCAGAUCCUUUAUACUCUUGAAACUUAUUGAGAGUAAAUCUACAGAAACAGAAAUUAGAUUAGUGGUUUCCAGGGGCUGGGGAAAGAGCAGAAAGGGGGGUGAAGGAAAUGUGGAGCUACAGAGGUGAUGGUUGCACAAUAUUGAGAAUGUACUUACUGCCACUGAUUAUACAUUUUAAAGUAGUUAAUUUUAUGUCAUGUGAAUUUUACUUAAAAAAAUAUAUAAUGAGGUAAAUCAACAACAACAAUGACAAAAACUUAUUGAGGCCUCCAAAGACCUUUUGUUUAUGUGGGUCAU